rnacentral:rRNA from 1 species
AUUGAACGCUGGCGGCAGGCCUAACACAUGCAAGUCGAACGAGUGGCGGACGGGUGAGUAAUGUCUGGGAAACUGCCUGAUGGAGGGGGAUAACUACUGGAAACGGUAGCUAAUAACGCAUACCAUCAGAUGUGCCCAGGUUGGAUUAGCUUGGUGGUGGGGUAACGGUCCACAAAGGCGACGAUCCCUAGCUGGUCUGAGAGGAUGACCAGCCACACUGGAACUGAGACACGGUCCAGACGCCUACGGGAGGCAGCAGGGUGGAAUAUUGCCCAAUGGUCGCAAGCAUGAUGCAGCCAUGCCGCGUGUAUGAAGAAGGCCUUCGGGUUGUAAAGUACUUUCAGCGGGGAGGCGUUACCCGCAGAAGAAGCACCGGCUAACUCCGUGCCAGCAGCCGCGGUAAUUC